UCAGUGAACCAGCCAUAUCACUCUGGGUAUGUACUGGAGCCCAGGUCUAUCACCCCCUACCUGCGAAUACCAGGCCUCUCACUUUGAAAACACAUGGCUGUAACUUCACUAUUGCUGAGGCUGCAUUAAAAAACUGGACCAGGUACCCUACACAGGCAAGCUACAUCACCUCAGCCCAGCAGAACAAAGCCCUGGACAGACCUUGGCUGGCUGAUAAUUGGUACUCCCUCUUACCUGUAUUUCUGCCCUGUGGGGACCUUAGUUGUCAUAGUUGUGGGGCUGGCAGUAAGUUUGCUUUCAGGGGGUAGACCUCUAAAACUGCAACCAGGGCUGACAGUAGUGAAGGAGGAUUUAACCUGCUACAAACUUUACAAAACUCUAAAGCAGAAGAUACCAACAUGAAAGGUGGUUCAUUUGGUAAGAACUGCUCCUUCCUGGCCCCACAGAAUGCCGUGGAAGGCCAUUAUCGCUUUCCUAACAUUGUUGGAGGUCUACAAAAAAAGGAGAAAACCCAGCAUAUGGCAACAACGACGCCGGCAACCAAAUUCCCCAAGAUUCAAAAGACCUCUAACAAGCUGCCCAAGUUGUACUCAAGUCAUAAUUAUACCAACAUGAAAGGUGGUUCAUUUGGUAAGAACUGCUCCUUCCUGGCCCCACAGAAUGCCGUGGAAGGUCAUUGUCGCUUUCCUAAGAUUGUUGGAGGUCUACAAAAAAAGGAGAAAACCCAGCAUAUGGCAACAACGACGCCAGCAACCAAAUUCCCCAAGAUCCAAAAGACCUCUAACAAGCUGUCAGUGAUUAUACUGAACGAUAUGUUUUUGGCAAACCAGGGCAUGGCUGAGAGUUCGGUGAAGGACCCAGAUGUUAAGCCUUAUGUCAGAUAUGGAGAAACCUCUUCAAGGAAACAAUCAAGUCACUUUCUGCCAGUGAUAAGACGUCACCAUGAAGAGAUAGCUGCACACAGUGGCCGACCUGCAGCCCAGAGAUCACGUGGGGUCCCCAACACUUCACUUCAGCCACAUGUGAUUGCCAUACCCUGUGAUGACCAGUUCAGCAACAGACUAAAGCAUCCCAGAACUGGCAAAAGCCAUCGCAAUUACUUUUAACAGGCCAGGCGGAGUAGGCCAUGAAUAAGAUUCAACUAAAGACAUCCCACUAGAGUAAAUGACACUUAUUUUAUGGCCUGAAGAUGGACUGAUUUCAGCAGAUGGACUGAUUAACUACUGAUUAUCAAAAAUAGUCAGGAAUGCCCCAGCUUGGCACAGAAGUGACAAU